GUGUGUGAGUGUGUGAGUGUGUUUGGGGUAACCUUAUGUGACAUCCUCAAACUGCUCAUUCUCAGUCUGUCAUUAAACAUGAUGAACUUCCUGAGCGCAGGCGUCUUUUUUUUCUGCCAUCUGACAUUUUUCCACGGGCUUCUGCCAAAAAUCAUAUUCAACUCAUCGCAAUCCCUAAAGCCUGGAGCUAUGAGGGGGUGACGGGGUCAGCUCGCGAUGGAGGGACAUACAAGCACAGAAGCCACUCCCCCUUCUCUGGGUCUGAGGCAAAGAAGCCACUCCUCCUUCAUUUAAAACUGAAGUCAUGACUGACAGGCAUAGAGGCCACGGCUCCUUCACUGGGACUGACAGGCAUAGUGGCCACACCUCCUUCACUGGAACUGAAAAGCAUAGAGGCCACACCUCCUUCACUGAGACUGACAGGCAUAGAAGCCAUGCCUCCUUCACUUGUACUGACAAGAGCAGAGGUCACACCACUUUGAAUGGG
ensembl:lncRNA